rnacentral:rRNA from 1 species
GAUGAACGCUGGCGGCGUGCCUAAUACAUGCAAGUCGAGCGAACAGACGAGGAGCUUGCUCCUCUGACGUUAGCGGCGGACGGGUGAGUAACACGUGGAUAACCUACCUAUAAGACUGGGAUAACUUCGGGAAACCGGAGCUAAUACCGGAUAAUAUAUUGAACCGCAUGGUUCAAUAGUGAAAGACGGUUUUGCUGUCACUUAUAGAUGGAUCCGCGCCGCAUUAGCUAGUUGGCAAGGUAACGGCUUACCAAGGCAACGAUGCGUAGCCGACCUGAGAGGGGGAUCGGCCACACUGGAACUGAGACACGGUCAAGACUCCUACGGGAGGCAGCAGUAGGGAAUCUGACGCAAUGGGCGAAAGCUUGACGGAGCAACGCCGCGUGAGUGAUGAAGGUCUUCGGAUCGUAAAACUCUGUUAUUAGGGAAGAACAAAUGUGUAAGUAACUAUGCACGUCUUGACGGUACCUAAUCAGAAAGCCACGGCUAACUACGUG